GUGAAGCACAUUAUUCGUCACAUUUCAAGAUACAUCUUUUCUGUGUGCUCUGAAAUUGAAAAACAUUAUGAAGAUGAUCCCCAGUGGAGAGGAAUUAUAGGAAAUUGUAACUUUCACCUGGAAUUGUCCAUAAUACUCAAGGAAGAUGACAUUUCUAAUCCAUUCAGGAAUGAUGCUAAUAGCAUGCAUCACUUUAUCAUGAGCCUGUGGCAAAUGCUGGCGAAAACACCACUCAUGAUUUUCUGGAAUUAACACCAAAUUGUUAUGCUAUCUUUUUUCAAGGAUCCUACAGGAGUUUGUGACCAUUACGUGUAAAAAAUGCAAGAGAACCACAGUGAAAUUUUAUCAUCUACACUCAAGUACAAGCAUGACUGCUCUCUGUUUUGUGUUCAAUUUAUCUACUUAUGAAACUAGUUGGUUUUUUCCCUUCUUCAUCUCCGAGGACCAAGAUGACUACAAUUGUUAGUUGGGAAUCAACAACCGUAAUCUUGACUACUUCUCAGUGAUCCAGACUUUUUUGCAUUUUUCCCUAGGCAGUGAGAAAUCCUCCUAAUUUUUCAUCUAUGACAGCUUUUACGUGAAAAGCUUGCAUCUUCCUUUUCCCAAUUCUAUUAAGACUUGAGAGAGGGUGAGAGGGAUUUUUCUGACAUCCUCCAAAUCUGCCAAAUUUCUUCAGUUUCCCAUCUGUAUUAGAGUGCUGGUGUGAUAGGUGAUACUGGAGAAAGUUAAAAUUAAAUUCACUUAAAGUAAUUUUAUAUUCUCUGAAUGGGUACCCACUACUCUGCCAGCACUUGUGACUUUGGCUAAAAUUUCUUCAAGCCUGAGAAAGCCUUUUCUUCCCGUGGAGAUUCUAAAUGGAUGCAAAGAGAGAGGAAAAUGAUCAAAGGUUUCCAAUUUAAUAAUUGAUUCAUUGGUUUUAAACAUUUUUUUUUUCCAGCCUGGAUAUUGCUCUGCUGUUUUCUAACUUGUUUUUUAGUUGUCUUAUAUUCCCUCAGCUGUGGCAGUAUUCCUGGAGCCAAAUGUGAGUGCACUACCUCAAAAUGCCAGCAGUGGAAGCUGGUAAGCAAGUGGGGGAAAAAUCACCAGAGGAAUUACUGAAGCUUGGGACAAAGGCAGAAAACACAUCAGUACUGCACUAACAGAGCAGCAGGUACCCUCAUAGAGAAGAUAAAAUUACAGUCUUUUAUGACGCCAUGCUGCAGUCCCACUAUGGAGUUGUGAUCACCACAAAAACCUCAAGAGGAUAUAUCCUUGUCUGAAUUGCUACAGUUAUUAUCUGUUACAGAAAGUAAAAUAAGGCAAACGUGUAAAACUCCUCAAGUCCGAAUGGAGAAGUAGAGAAAGGAGGUUUCUGCUGUGCCUGAUGACAAUUUUUGUUUUUUUCCACACACACAAAAUAUUCUGGCUCCACGUUGGAGCACUAGUUGUGAUGAAACCUAGUCUUGGUCGGAUUCUAAGGAAGGGCCAGAACGUUCGUUGAGGAAUAAAGAGUCAGACUACUCCAGAAAAUGUGUUCCAGCCCUGGUUUAUUACUCACAGAGCAGCAGGUAACCCGAUAGCUAAAGACAAAUCAAGUCAGUCUCAAGGCUGAUAACAUUAAAUACAACACACAGGAAUUUCAUUCCUCCAGGCAAUCCUUGAAGUGAAAUUUUAUACUGUUGGGGUGUAUCCUGCAGAAUCAAUUGUUUCAAUGAGAACCUGCCUUGUAAUCAGCAACAGCCUUGAGAUCAAAACUACUGGGAAGUUAUUCUGAACUUCUGUGUCACAAAGAUUUCAACUGAUUGAACUGUGUACACUUGUAAAAUUGCACUUGCUGAGGAAUUUGCAGCUGUAAUCACAAGAGUUGAUACUCAAAAUGUGCAGAAAAACAGCAAACUUUUGGAUUCUCCAUUCCAGACCAGUGGCUUUUCAUCUUGAUGAAGUCAACCUCCAAAAUGUAUUGGUUCCUUCUCUCUAAAAUGAUCCCUGGUCCACAUUCAGAUCGCUGAUGGGACUGCACACUGCUUUAAUUAAAUUUCUAUUGCAGAAAUUGUCCUCUGGCAUGGCACAGGUUUAGACAUUUUUAUUUGUAUUCUAAUCUUGGAGCUCUCAAAGUUACAUAUUUCAACAUCUUGAAGUUGCUUUUGUUAUAGGAAUGGAAAUAUAUAUCCAUUGUUAAUAAUUAUUGUUGACAAGUAAUAGUUAUCUGAAUACAUCAGUCAUAUUAGAAUGUAUAGUCAGGCUGACAUGUUUCCCUAAGGCUAACCAACUACUGCAGCUCUUUGGUGGUUAAAAAAGUGGUGGUCAAAACUCAAUUACCACUUCCAUUAUAAGGCAUUUUAUAACUUUAAAAUAUACGUUUCCAUUUAGUUUGAAGGAGAUGAGUGUUCCUGAUAAUGUACUUUACUUUCCCAACCUUUAGUUCAUUGAAAUUCAUGGCAAGCAUUCAAUGGCAGUAUUUCAUCCCUUUUUAUAAAGGUAGGCAGGGAUGUAAAUGAGUUUUGCAAUGAUGAAAUUGGAUGGUAAUCAUUCAGAAUUUUGGGGGUAUUUUUUAUUAAAAAAUAAAAUCUCUUGCUUGAACCUAAAUGCUGUUGGAUGCUUAUGUAGAUGUCUGCUCAGUCUGUUUGCUAUAAAGGAAAAAAAUCCUAGUGCCCUCUCAGAUUUACAGUUUGUGGGUAUUUUGCUUGCUUACAGUCAUCCAAUUGAGAUCUGAUCCUUGCCAAAAUCACAUUUACUGGUUUGGUUUAUUUUUUGUUUCAGGAGCAAUUUUUGAACUUAGUGAUGUGCUGUUACAUGAAAAAAAAAGAAAUCCUCAAUAUUUAAAGGCCUUAAGCAUCGAUGAGCUUUUUUCUAGGUUAUUACAGAAUGUAUAAUUUUAUACUCCAUUUAAUGUAUAUUGUACCAUCUGUAAUAUUGAUACAACAGAAAUUUGGCAAUUCCAUCUAGUGACACUGCAUAAGCAUGCUGACUGGAGAGGGUGAGGGAGUUCUGACUGUAUGCUUUGGUGCAUUGAAACGAAACCCACACACACUUAAUGGCAAUCAAAAAUAUACAGGGUGAGCUUAUUUAGAAGUCCUGUGUGUUUACCAGACUCUCAGAAAAAGAGGGAAAUGGUUUUAUCAUCACAAGCCAUUGACAUGGCUAAGUAGUUAUAUAUUAAGUUCCAUGAUGGAUGAAUACCCUGGAGUGCUCUGCCUAUCACAGUAGCUCCUGCUGUUCCAAAACCAUUUCAUUACCUCUGCUGUAUUAUUGCACAGGAAAGCUUAAAUAAAAUAAAUGACUGUUGGGAAUAAAAUUGAGAAGUAUAUUCUAUCAUUCUGCUGAGAAAUAAUAAAAAAAUUGGCAGGGAAAGAUAUUUUUCUGAUUAAAAUUUAAUUAGGAUAAACUAGCAGCAACUAGUUAUCUCAGUAUUUUAGGAUGGAUUAAUACUGUAUGGAUUUGUGCUAAGAGGUGCAGGACAGAAUGCAGUGUCUUAGAGAGAUUGUCUGGGACAGUGCAAAGUGUAAAUGUGCUGUUUUGUAAAAUCUGAAUAUAGCCUCUCUUUGGUCAAAACCCACAUCAUGCUUCUCAAUACUUGUUUUCUUUGUUUCUUUGUUCUUAAGCCAACAAUGAAAAUACUGUAUGAUAUACAAGUGUAACACAUGCAUAUCAAUAAGUGAAAAUAAAUGGCUUUUCAAAUAUACUAAA